GACGAACGCUGGCGGCGUGCUUAACACAUGCAAGUCGAGCGGAAAGGCCCUUCGGGGUACUCGAGCGGCGAACGGGUGAGUAACACGUGAGCAACCUGCCCUUGGCUUUGGGAUAACCCCGGGAAACCGGGGCUAAUACCGGAUGUUCACUGCUGGACGCAUGUUUGGUGGUGGAAAGAUUUUUCGGCCAGGGAUGGGCUCGCGGCCUAUCAGCUUGUUGGUGGGGUGAUGGCCUACCAAGGCGACGACGGGUAGCCGGCCUGAGAGGGCGACCGGCCACACUGGGACUGAGACACGGCCCAGACUCCUACGGGAGGCAGCAGUGGGGAAUAUUGCACAAUGGGCGGAAGCCUGAUGCAGCGACGCCGCGUGAGGGAUGACGGCCUUCGGGUUGUAAACCUCUUUCAGCUCCGACGAAGCGAAAGUGACGGUAGGGGCAGAAGAAGCGCCGGCCAACUACGUGCCAGCAGCCGCAGUAACAC
rnacentral:rRNA from 1 species